GGGCCCAUGGCGCAGCGGUAGCGCAACGGACUCAUAAUCCGCGGGUCGCAGGUUCGAAUCCUGCUGGGCCCACCA
rnacentral:tRNA from 1 species